UACGUAGGUGACCAGCGUUGUCCGGAUUUACUGGGCGUAAAGAGCGCGCAGGCGGUCGUUCAAGUCGAGUGUGAAAGCCCCGGCUCAACUGGGGAGGGUCACUCGAUACUGAUCGACUUGAAGGCAGGAGAGGGAAGCGGAAUUCCCGGUGUAGUGGUGAAAUGCGUAGAUAUCGGGAGGAACACCAGUGGCGAAGGCGGCUUCCUGGCCUGGUUCUUGACGCUGAGG
rnacentral:rRNA from 1 species